AGGGAAUAUUGCACAAUGGGGGAAACCCUGAUGCAGCAACGCCGCGUGAGUGAAGAAGGCCCUUGGGUUGUAAAGCUCUUUAGCCUGGAAAGAAGCCGUCGUAGAUUAAUAAUCUACGGGGGUGACGGUACCAGGAAAAUAAGCACCGGCUAAUUUCGUGCCAGCAGCCGCGGUAAUACGAAAGGUGCAAGCGUUACUCGGAAUCACUGGGCGUAAAGCGCGCGUAGGCGGUCUUGUAUGUCGAUUGUGAAAGCCCUGGGCUCAACCUAGGAACAGCAGUCGAAACUGCAAGACUUGAAUACUGGAGAGGGUGGGGGAAUACCUAGUGGAGAAGUGAAAUUCGUAGAGAUUAGGUGGAACACCAGAGGCGAAGGCGCCUGCCUGGCCAAGUAUUGACGCUAAGGCGCGAAAGUGCGGGGAGCAAAC
rnacentral:rRNA from 1 species